rnacentral:rRNA from 1 species
UGGCUCAGAACGAACGCUGGCGGCAUGCCUAACACAUGCAAGUCGAACGAAGCCUUCGGGCUUAGUGGCGCACGGGUGCGUAACGCGUGGGAAUCUGCCCUUGGGUUCGGAAUAACAGUUAGAAAUGACUGCUAAUACCGGAUGAUGUCUUCGGACCAAAGAUUUAUCGCCCAAGGAUGAGCCCGCGUAGGAUUAGGUAGUUGGUGGGGUAAAGGCCUACCAAGCCGACGAUCCUUAGCUGGUCUGAGAGGAUGAUCAGCCACACUGGGACUGAGACACGGCCCAGACUCCUACGGGAGGCAGCAGUGGGGAAUAUUGGACAAUGGGGGAAACCCUGAUCCAGCAAUGCCGCGUGAGUGAAGAAGGCCUUCGGGUUGUAAAGCUCUUUUGUCAGGGAAGAAACAGCAGCUCUAACACAGUCUGCGAAUGACGGUACCUGAAGAAUAAGCACCGGCUAACUACGUG